rnacentral:rRNA from 1 species
UACGUAGGGGGCAAGCGUUGUCCGGAAUUAUUGGGCGUAAAGCGCGCGCAGGCGGCUUUUUAAGUCUGGUGUUUAAUCCCGAGGCUCAACUUCGGGUCGCACUGGAAACUGGGGAGCUUGAGUGCAGAAGAGGAGAGUGGAAUUCCACGUGUAGCGGUGAAAUGCGUAGAGAUGUGGAGGAACACCAGUGGCGAAGGCGACUCUCUGGGCUGUAACUGACGCUGAGGCGCGAAAGCGUGGGGAGCAAACAGG